UGGAGAUGGCAUCUCUGCUUCCUUACGUACACUGAGAACAUUUCCUCUUUAGCUGUAUUUGUCUUUUUCAUCACACAGCAAAUCCUCAAGUCAAACCUGUUAUCUGGAAGAGAAUUUCCUGUAAAGGCUGAGGAGAGAGAGAAAGAGUGAAGAGCAGAAAAAUGUUCUUCACCAUCAGCAGAGCUUUGACAUAGCAGCAGAAAAGGACUGUUGCUGUUGCAAGUGCGUUGGCCCGGAAGGAUGAGCACAAUGUAGGUGUGCCCUGGCAGCCAAGGGGCAAACCUCAUUUUGGGAUGCAUUAAACACAGCAUAGCCAGC
rnacentral:lncRNA from 1 species